AUCACCAUAAAAUGACCGGCUGAAUGUAGCUUCGAUCUCGGUUGAAGUGUUAUAGCCUCUGGUAGAUGUGAUGAUUGGGACUGAGGAUUGCAACGAAUAUCCUUUAGGCUAUCCGUCUGAUCUCUGAAAGUUGCUCAGGUGCCGAAAGCGUGCUUACGGUCAUCUAAGUUGACGGUCAACAGGUUAGAACGUGAUUACAUUCGUUAAGGAUGUUGGCGUAAUGGCUUUAAACGACCCGUCUUGAAACACGG
rnacentral:rRNA from 1 species